rnacentral:lncRNA from 1 species
AAGGCGAAAAUCAACAACCAACUCACAUUAUCAAAGGAACUAUGCAGGAAAGAAGCAUAUAUAUAUAUGAGCUUAGACAUAAAGACAACAAAAGCUAUGGAUUUAGAACAAAGAUUAGCCAACCUUGCAACUCAUUCUACAUCCUCUGCAAAUGCCAUCACCCCCCGCCAAAACUUGAAACACAAAUGUGGCCGAGUUCCGAUGCGAGAAUGCACGAGGAGCCUUUAAGAACUUGACAGAGAUAUCAGAACCAGCACAAUGAAAUACUAAAAACAAAACCGAGAGGACCCAACAAAGGAGAAUAGUGCAUGAACUUCUGAGCAAACCCAUUUCUGGAUGAACCCAAAAGUUGAAGUCUUUAACUAUAGAGGCUAUGGCUUGUGAUCAAAAAGGACGACAUGAGAGGGUUCGUGCAGAAAGCAUGAACCAAACUGAGAAACCCAAUAGUGAAAAAAUCAAAGUUAUACAAAGAAUAAGAAGAGAUUAGAAGAAAUUAUAGAGGAAAUGCAGGGUUUUUAGAGGAGGAGUAAUGGAUCUGAUUGUUGAGGAAGCUUCAAGCUUGUCAGAUUAAGGAUAGCGUACAUGAAACCGACAGUAAUUGCCUCCUUUCAAAAUUAAAAAAGAAAAAAAAAUACUGACAAUGCAGAUAAGCCACAGAGGAGGGAGAGAGAGAGAGAGAGAGAGAGAGAGAGAGAGAGGAAAUCCUCCUUUUUCUGCUAUAAAGAAAAUAAAGGAAGUUGCUUUGCCUGUGGCUAAAUCAUAAAUGGAAGCCAAUAAAAAAACCAGGAAAAAAAAAUUAAUUUUGAAAAGAAAAAUGCAGAAAAUUUGGCUCCUCAUCUAUUGUGAUAAAGUAUGAUCAGAGUCUAGCCUCACAUUGCCAAGCAGACACUAAAAAACAAGAAUGACCCAUUUUAGUGGGACUAAUUCUGUGCAGAUUCCAAUAAAAAUCAUACGAAUUUUGAAUUAAAACCAUAAAAAAUAAGACAUUAUUAUUGGCUCAAUCAACUUUCCAGCAACUCUUCUUGUCUUUCAACUGCCUGUUAAACUACCUCACGAUUGCAUCUAAAGAUUUUGAAUUAGAAUAACAAGUUUAUUACUUGCAUAUAAGGUUUGAAUAAGAAGAUGUUUCUGAGAUUAAUGCAUUAAAAAUUAAAAAGUAAAAAAAUUUUCUUCUUUUUCCACAGUAAUUAUCAAGUGGAAGUUGAACUCCAAGCUAUUUAAGUAAGAAAGCUGGAGAUUACCAACUAAUAGAUUAAAUGCCCAACUGUACAUUACUAAUCUCCUCAGUAAGGAAGACUCAUUCAAUAGAAAGUUUCUCUAACUGUUAACUUCUACAUUACUAUUCUUCGGAGAGUGAGUGAGUGAGU